ensembl:lncRNA
CCGGUGGGCCAGGGGCCAGACCCUGACCUGAGAAGAGGAGGAGCCUGAAUCCUGCUGCUGCCGAGAAGUUGAAAACAAAGCCAGAAGAGGUCCAUCUUCUGACCUUGAAAGUACUCCUUCCUAAGGACCCAGAAGGCCAGGUUUGAGGUCGGAGUCAUCAGAGUCCUUGGAGUUCUGCACGGGAAUGUGGCAGCGCAGGGAGAGCUGGUCUGGCACUCACACCUCCCCCCGCCCUGUCUUCCCACCUCAGCUCUGACCUGCACCUUGAGAGGCCUCAGGAGCAUGCCAGUGGGCUCUUCAGCUCACACGUUCCAGUUCCAACCACAGCCUCCCCUUGGCCGCCCUUAUGGCUAAAGGCUUCCAGAGGGACUGCAAAGCCCUUUACCAUGGUCUGGAUGCUGGAGAAGGUGCCUUUCCACGGGGCCAUAGGGGUGCAGGGGCAGGCAGGACAGGAUGUUCUCCGAGUUCCAGCAGCAGGACCAUCCCUCAGAACGCGCAGCAGAGCCAUGAUUAGGGCUGAAGCCUGGUUGUGGGGCAAAGGCCUUGCCUCACCUUUCACCACCGUCUCGCUUGAGAUGUCGCAAGUAUUUAGAGACUUGCCUUUUCCCCCCCUCUCAUCAGCUUUAUAACCCUGAACACAUUCUUAUUUUUCUUCCCAUCACUCAAUUUAUCAGCCCCUGGAACAAGUCUGUCACUCACCCGUGAGCCUAGAAGGCUCUCUGGUGAAUUGUAAGGCAGUUCACACUGGCUUGAUUGGGCAGAACAGGGUGGUGGUGGUUCUUAUCUUGGGUUUAAUUUGCUUAAGUUGUUCCCACCUCCUCUGCUCAGGUCUAGCGGCUCUUUGGGAGCUCUGGUCGGGUAUUUCGGUAGCAGGAUAAGAGUGGUUAAGAGCAUAAGUUUAGGCUGCGGAGGGGGCCUGGGUACAUGGCCCAGGUCUGCCAUUAAGGGCCACAUGACCCGGGACAUGUGGCUUGACCUCUCUGAGCCUCAAAGUUCUCAUCUGUAAAAUGGGAAAGAACAUUACCUGCCUCAAAGGAUUGCUGGGAGGAUGGAACGAGAAUGCUUAUGGAGCACUUAGCACUGCUCGAGGCACAAGGUUAUCCCCAUAAUCUUCCCAGCAGGACAAGGACAACCACAGGUCCGGGAUAAGGGUAUUGGGAUCAGAGAAUCAGGGGUUAUGAAGCCAGGCUUUUCGCCCUAGACAAGGGUGGAAGUGAAGAGGAAAGAGCUUGUUCUAGUUGAAAGAUCCAGUCAGGGUUCCUUAAGGUGGUAAAAGCCAAGAUUUUUAGGAUUGAAAGAGACCCUGGAAAUCCUCUGACUGAAAAGAAGGUAGCUCUGUAGCAGGAGAGUGAGAAAGAAGACGGGCCCGAGUGACCUCCACAAAGCACCACUUAUGAAGGAUUUGAGGUUUUGACGGGAGUGCCUGGUGGCUAAAAAUAGGACAGGACUGUGUGGGCUCCGUGAGCCUGGUUGCUCCUCAGGUGGAGAAAAAAGUUACCCCAUCCACCAGAGGGUCAGUUCCUCCUUUCCCCUGGAGGAGAUGCUGGAGACUUAGGAAACUGGAUGGACCAGGUCCUCGUUGCCGUAAUCUAGUUAUAACCAACCCAUGUUUCCCGUAUGGUCUGGCACAGAAACCAAAGGAAGGGUAUGCAGAGCUGGGCCCCGCUGGUUCCUUGGCAUGGCUGCUCUGCCCUCUGGGAAAGAUGGAGAAACCAGGGCUGGGAACCCAUAGGCCCCUAAGAAGAAAACAUCAACAACCAAAAUUACAGUUGGGAAGAACUGCCUCCAUCUGCAAGUAACUGGGCAAUUACCUCCUAAUUAAGCUCUCAUUAAUCUGUUUUCUGAGGGUGAUAGUACAGUACUUGGUAGGUGCACCCCACCCUGCUUGUCACUAAGGUGUUGAAGAUUAAGCAUUUCACAUCAAUCAAGGUGGAACUCUUCUAUCUGAUUAAAUAUAAUAGUCUGAUUUAUUCCAACAUGAUGAGGUCUUAAAAGCCAUGCCCUUUUAUCUUUGGAGCACUGGGAGGGGUUGCAGGAUUUUCAUUUUGAGUCCUGUGUUACAGGGGAGGAAGAGGAAGCACCAGGAGGGGAAAAGACACAAGGCAGAAUUCAGACCAGUGUUUUUCAAAGUGUGGACUAUGGAUCUCUCUUGCAUCUGAAUCACGUGCCUAUUAAAAAUGCAGAUUCCUGGGCCAGCCCUGAUGGCCUAGCAGUUAAAAGUUUGGUGCACUCCACCUCAGCAGCCCAGGUUCAGUUCCUGGUCACGGAACCAUACCACUCAUCUGUCAGUAGCCAUGCUGUGGUGGUGGCUCACAUUGAAGAAUUAGGACUUACAACUAGAAUACACAACUACGUACUGGGGCUUUGGGGAGGAAAAAAAAAGGGAGGAAGAUUGGCAACAGACCUUAGCUCAGGAUGGAACUUUCCCAGCAAAAAAAUAAAAACAAAUAAAAAUGCAAAUUCCUGGAGUCUGCUUCAGUCUUGAGUCUGAAACUUCCCACGUGAUUCUUACAAACACCCAGGUCUGAAAAUCUCAGGGAGAAGCAGAAAGUCUUCAGGGAUUUUAAAGACACUGAUAAAGGAAGUACACAGACAACUCAAAACACCAUUUCAGCCAAUCAUUUCUAAACCCAUCCCAGAAAAUCUUUCACUUUAGCAUUUAGCCUAGGUAAAGCUUGACCAUUCCCCUGGUUACACUUCAUCCAUCUACAGGUGGUGAUGCAAAUAGAAAAACAUCUGGCCCUUUUGGGCCAGAAGGUCAGAGAAGGAGGAGCAUGUUUGUGUAUAAACCAACCUCUAGAUCACCAAAGGCUGAUGUCUUGGUUCUAACUCCCUGGGCUCAGGUGUUGCAAAUGCUGACUUAGGGCCCCCUUAUCUACUGAUAACAAAGGUGAACAGAAGUGAUCUCCAGAAAUGGUUCACACACAGCUCCCAGGUUCUUGAAAAACCACAAGUG